rnacentral:rRNA from 1 species
CCAGACUCCUACGGGAGGCAGCAGUAGGGAAUCUUCGGCAAUGGACGGAAGUCUGACCGAGCAACGCCGCGUGAGUGAAGAAGGUUUUCGGAUCGUAAAGCUCUGUUGUAAGAGAAGAACGAGUGUGAGAGUGGAAAGUUCACACUGUGACGGUAUCUUACCAGAAAGGGACGGCUAACUACGUGCCAGCAGCCGCGGUAAUACGUAGGUCCCGAGCGUUGUCCGGAUUUAUUGGGCGUAAAGCGAGCGCAGGCGGUUUGAUAAGUCUGAAGUUAAAGGCUGUGGCUCAACCAUAGUUCGCUUUGGAAACUGUCAAACUUGAGUGCAGAAGGGGAGAGUGGAAUUCCAUGUGUAGCGGUGAAAUGCGUAGAUAUAUGGAGGAACACCGGUGGCGAAAGCGGCUCUCUGGUCUGUAACUGACGCUGAGGCUCGAAAGCGUGGGGAGCGAACAGGAUUAGAUACCCUGGUAGUCCACGCCGUAAACGAUGAGUGCUAGGUGUU